rnacentral:rRNA from 1 species
AUGUCUCACAUAGCAAUUUUCUUCCUCACCAUCAAAAUGAUCAAAAGAAGAACUCUGCACCAAGAGGGACCUUCACUUCCACUUGUUGUGAGUGUUGUCUCACUGUCAACAUAUUUGCCUACAUUUCUAUCCAAGGGCCUAUCUGCCGUGAUUCAAGACCUACACACAAAGAUGGGCAGUGUGUUCACAAUAAGUCUUUUUGGGCUGAAGAAGGUGACCUUCCUGGUUGGACCAGAGGUCACAGCCCAUUUCUUCCAAGGCUCGGAAUCGGAGAUAAGGCAGUCCAAUAUCUACAAAGUCACGGUGCCCGUUUUUGGCCGAGGGGUUUUGUACGAUGUGGACUUGGCUACUAGGAGCAGGCAGAUUAGCUUUUAUCUCGAUUCGAUAAAGCCAAUGAACUUGAGAGGCCACGUUGAUUCCAUGGUUAAGGAAGUGGAGGACUACUUCACAAAAUGGGGGCAGCAUGGUGUCGUUGACAUAAAGCAUGAGAUGGGGAACCUAAUCUUGCUGAUCGCAAAUCGAUGCUUGCUUGGAAAACAGUUCCGAGAGAAUAUGUUUGAAGAAGUAUCCACGCUCGCUCAUGGUAUUUUUUAUAAUGGCUUCCACUUGAUCAGCCUCUUCUUCCCAUAUCUACCUAUCCCACCACACCGUCGUCGUGACAAAGCUCGUGCUAAGCUGGGAGAGAUGAUCCAUGAGGUCGUGAGAUCACGUAGGAGUUCAGGCCAGGCUGAGAAUGAUGUGCUACAGAAAUUUGUAGACUCCAAAUACAUCAAUGGCCGCUCCAUGACUGAGAAUGAGAUCGCGGGGCUGCUCAUUUGUAUGAUGUUUGCAGCACAACACACGAGCUCCGCCACCAGUACCUGUACAGGAGCUUGUCUGCUCAGUCAUGAAGAAAGCUACUUGGCUGCUGCUAUCGAAGAGCAGAAACGGAUCAUGGAACGUCAUGGGGAACAUAUAGACUACACCAUCUUGCAAGAGAUGGGAACCUUGCAUUGCUGCAUCAAAGAGGCACUGAGGUUGCACUCUCCAGCAAUUCUGCUGAUCCGCCAUGCAAGCAAGAGCUACAGUGUGCAAACAAGAGAAGGCAAUAGAAUUGAUAUCCCUCAAGGACAUACCUUAGCAACCUGCACUACAGUUAGCAGCAAGCUACCAUACAUCUAUAUGGAUCCGGAUGUAUAUGAUCCAAGUAGGUUUGGUCCAGGGAGAGAGGAAGACAAAGUUGGUGGCAAGUUCUCUUAUACACCAUUUAGCGCUGGGAGGCACUUCUGCUUGGGAGAGGAUUUUGCUUACACGCAAAUUAAGGUGAUAUGGAGCCAUUUGCUGAGGAACUUUGAGCUCGAAUUGAUCUCCCCUUUCCCGAAGGAGGAAUGGGACAAAUUCAUUCCAGGGCCUAAAGGUAAAGUGAUGGUUAGUUACAAGAGACGAAGAAUCAUGUGA